rnacentral:rRNA from 1 species
CGCGUCUGAUUAGCUGGUUGGCGGGGUAACGGCCCACCAAGGCGACGAUCAGUAGCCGGCCUGAGAGGGUGGACGGCCACAUUGGGACUGAGACACGGCCCAAACUCCUACGGGAGGCAGCAGUGGGGAAUAUUGCACAAUGGGGGAAACCCUGAUGCAGCGACGCCGCGUGAGCGAAGAAGUAUUUCGGUAUGUAAAGCUCUAUCAGCAAGGAAGAAAAUGACGGUACCUGACUAAGAAGCCCCGGCUAACUACGUGCCAGCAGCCGCGGUAAUACGUAGGGGGCAAGCGUUAUCCGGAAUUACUGGGUGUAAAGGGAGCGUAGACGGUGAAGUAAGUCUGGAGUGAAAGGCGGGGGCCCAACCCCCGGACUGCUCUGGAAACUAUUUGACUGGAGUGCAGGAGAGGUAAGCGGAAUUCCUGGUGUAGCGGUGAAAUGCGUAGAUAUCAGGAGGAACAUCGGUGGCGAAGGCGGCUUACUGGACUGUAACUGACGUUGAGGCUCGAAAGCGUGGGGAGCAAACAGGAUUAGAUACCCUGGUAGUCCACGCAGUAAACGAUGAAUGCUGGCUGUCCGGGGGGACUGACCCCUGGGUGGCGAAGCGAAAGCGAUAAGCAUUCCACCUGGGGAGUACGCCGGCAACGGUGAAACUCAAAGGAAUUGACGGGGGCCCGCACAAGCGGAGGAACAUGUGGUUUAAUUCGAUGAUACGCGAGGAACCUUACCCGGGAUUGAAAUGUAGAUGACUGAUGGUGAAAACCGUCUUCCCUUCGGGGCUUCUAUGUAGGUGCUGCAUGGUUGUCGUCAGCUCGUGCCGUGAGGUGUCGGCUUAAGUGCCAUAACGAGCGCAACCCCC